AGGGAAACAGUUAUAACUUACAACUGAGUGACGGAAUUCCUUUCGCUUUAACUCACUUUCAAACAACUCUGUCACCCUUUCCUCAAAUGGCCACCAAAGCCUUCUCCGUAUCCUUCGCUGACGUCACCAACAGCGUCAGCUUCCCCUUCGCUUCUAAACCCCCAACCGCAUCUCCGAGACACUGCGUUUUCUCACUCACUUGCUCUGCCGGUAAGGGUGAGAGGCCUUGGAAAACUUCGGAUGCAAGGCUUGUGCUUCAAGAUGGUUCAAUCUGGAAUGCCAAAUCAUUUGGCGCUUCUGGAACCCAAGUUGGUGAAGUUGUUUUCAAUACAUCAUUGACUGGGUAUCAAGAAAUUUUGACGGAUCCUAGCUAUGCUGGCCAGUUUGUGCUCAUGACAAAUCCGCAUAUUGGGAAUACCGGUGUAAAUUUUGAUGAUGAGGAAUCAAGACGGUGCUUCCUUUCUGGUCUAGUUAUUCGGAGUUUGAGUAUCAGUACAUCAAAUUGGAGAUGUGUUAAAGCACUCGGUGAUUACUUAGCGGAAAGGAACAUCAUGGGAAUCUAUGAUGUUGACACGCGUGCAAUUACACGAAGAUUGAGACAAGAUGGCAGUCUUAUUGGUGUCUUGAGCACUGAUAAUUCUAAAACAGAACAGGAACUACUGCAGAUAUCUCAGUCGUGGAACAUUGUUGGUAUUGAUCUAAUAAGCGGCGUCUCAUGCAUGUCUCCACUUGAAUGGAUUGAUAAAACAGAAGAUGAAUGGGAAUUCCGUCCAAAUAAAGAUCCAGCUGGAGAAACUUUCCAUGUAGUUGCUUAUGAUUUUGGGAUUAAGCAUAAUAUACUUAGGCGCUUAGCAUCAUACGGAUGUAAAAUUACAGUUGUGCCGUCUACAUGGCCAGCAUCAGAAACUUUGAAGAUAAAGCCAGAUGGGGUCAUUUUAAGCAAUGGCCCUGGAGAUCCAUCUGCCAUUCCUUAUGCUGUUGAAACUGUAAAGAAUAUUCUCGGAAAGGUGCCUGUUUUUGGAAUUUGCAUGGGCCAUCAAUUGUUAGGCCAGGCUUUAGGUGGCAAGACCUUCAAGAUGAAAUUUGGUCACCAUGGAGGAAACCAUCCUGUUCGCAACCUUAGAACUGGCCGUGUCGAAAUUAGUGCUCAGAACCACAACUAUGCGGUGGACCCUGCCACAUUGCCAAAGGGGGUGGAGGUUACACAUAUCAAUCUUAAUGAUGGAAGUUGUGCUGGUCUAGCCUUUCCUUCUCAAAGAGUUAUGUCCCUUCAAUACCACCCUGAAGCAUCCCCUGGACCUCAUGAUUCUGACUAUGUAUGCAGUGGCAAGGUGUAUAUCUGCGCAUUGAAGCAAUAACAGAAAACGUGACAUUCGUCACUCAUUUUUUCUCUCAUUUUUGAGCCUCACUCUCAUAUGGUGUUUUAGAGAGUUUGUGCAGUUAAUGAUGCAGGAUAGAAAGAAAGCUAAUAAAAGCCUUAAACUGGUAGCAGCGCAAGCUUCCGAUGCAUAGGUGCUUUCUAGUGUUGGCGGCAAGAAUUAGGGUAUCUUCAUAAAAUGUCAUUUUGGUCCAUUGUUUUUGUAGAUGUCUAGGAAGUAGGAAUUGAGUUUUCUUCUUUCGUGUCUUUCUAUAACAAGGCCAAGCUACAAGAAAGUGAGAAUUAACGUAUUCAUCGUAGCAACACUAGCAACCACCAAAGUUUUGCUAGGCAUUUGCAACAGAUUAACAUUUGUCUUGCAACCCAAUGUAGCAAUGCCUACUUAAAAAAAAAAUUAAGCACUAAAUAAAAAAUAAUUAAGUGUGAAGGACAA